UACGGGGGGUGCGAGCGUUGUCCGGAAUUACUGGGUGUAAAGGGAGCGUAGGCGGAUAGUUUAGUCAGAGGUGAAAGCCCAGGGCUCAACCUUGGAAUUGCCUUUGAUACUGGCUAUCUUGAGUACGGAAGAGGUAUGUGGAACUCCGAGUGUAGAGGUGAAAUUCGUAGAUAUUCGGAAGAACACCAGUGGCGAAGGCGACAUACUGGUCCGUUACUGACGCUGAGGCUCGAAAGCGUGGGGAGCAAACAGG
rnacentral:rRNA from 1 species